rnacentral:rRNA from 1 species
CCAAUAGCGCAUAUUAAAGUUGUUGCAGUUAAAAAGCUCGUAGUUGAAUUUCGGGAUCAAAUUGUCGGUCGUGCCUCGGUACGCACUGGCGCUAUUGGUUCCUCCCUUCUGAAGAACCGCGAUGUCAUUAAUUUGGUGUCGCGGGGAAUCAGGACUGUUACUUUGAAAAAAUUAGAGUGUUUAAAGCAGGCUCGCGCUUGAAUACAUUAGCAUGGAAUAAUGAAAUAGGACGUUUGAUUCUAUUUUGUUGGUUUCUAGGAUCGACGUAAUGAUUAAUAGGGAUAGUUGGGGGCAUUAGUAUUCAAUUGUCAGAGGUGAAAUUCUUGGAUUUAUUGAAGACUAACUACUGCGAAAGCAUUUGCCAAGGAUGUUUUCAUUAAUCAAGAACGAAAGUUAGGGGAUCGAAGACGAUCAGAUACCGUCGUAGUCUUAACCAUAAACUAUGCCGACUAGGGAUCGGAUGAUGUUAAUUUUUUAAUGACUCAUUCGGCGCCUUACG